rnacentral:rRNA from 1 species
UACAUAGGGUGCAAACGUUGCUCGGAAUUAUUGGGCGUAAAGCGCACGUAGGCGGUUUGUUAAGUCGGAUGUGAAAUCCCUCGGCUCAACUGAGGAAGUGCAUCCGAAACUGGCAGGCUUGAGUACUAAAGAGGGUCGCGGAAUUCCCGGUGUAGAGGUGAAAUUCGUAGAUAUCGGGAGGAACACCGGUGGCGAAGGCAGCGACCUGGCUAGAUACUGACGCUGAGGUGCGAAAGCAUGGGGAGCAAACAGG